rnacentral:misc_RNA from 1 species
GCUAUAUAUACUAGUCACAGAUUGUAGCUAAAUACACGCAGAAAAAAAGGGUCCUGUAGUUUUAGUAUAAAUAUGAUAGCAGCAUAAUGCAUGCUGCAUCAAAAAGUAACUGUGAAAAUGGAUGUCCUAUGUACUCCAAUUAUUCGAAGAGGUUAUAGAUGUAGCAGCAAUUAUUCUGAAACUCCAAGGAACUGAGCAAAGCUUGGAUAUUUGGGCUCCCAUCCUAGUUCAGCACGAGUCUUUGAGUUGUUUAACUUCUUCCCUAAAGGAUCACUAGUUCCUGUGAAACCCUCAAAUUUCUUAUCAAACUUGCCACUUUUCUCGACUAAGUCCAUCACCUCCUGCCUGGAUACAGGGUGGUUGUCACAGCCCAAAAAGAUCCGACCACGAAGUCUCUUCUUCAAGAUGGUAACUGACAAUGAAGCUGCAUCCUCAUAAUGAAUAAGAUUGAGGAUGUGGUCAGGGCGAAUAUCACAGCUCCCUUUAUGUAACCAGUAUAUAUGUGCACCUCUAUCUGCUUUAUAAAGGCCAGCCAAUCUAACUACACAGCCAUCAAAGUCCA